UAGGUGCUUUAGCCAGCUAACGUUAGCUCCAUGUGUUGGGUGAAAAAGCCGUCUCCAACUGAGUUUUUUAUUUUUUUAUUUUCAGCUGACUCAUUUUAAAACAAGAAUCUUAAAGAAGGAGUCUUAAGUAUUCACUUAAUGGCUACAUGUUGUGCUAAAAGUCUAAAGCUAACGCUGCAUGUCACAGGCAAAAAGUCAGCUUCCUCACCAAUCUAGUUGUUUAUAGGCUUCUUUUUCUGUAACCUGUAGACUCGCACAGUAAUGUAGUUGGUUAGCACUAUGCUGACUGUUGGCCUCGGAAGUAAUGCUAGGUUACUACUGUACAUAGUAAGCUAGUUAGCUGGACAUGCUAACAAUUGCUAACAGCUUACGUUAGCACGGAUGAACACAAAGUUUAAUCCAUUCCUUGUGUUUUUGAUUUUGAAAAGGUGAUACAAACGUUUUUUCCAAACUUUUUUUUUUUUUUAAAUG